GGGUCGUCAGCUCAGUUGGUAGAGCAGUUGACUUUUAAUCAAUUGGUCGCAGGUUCGAAUCCUGCACGACCCACCA
rnacentral:tRNA from 1 species